rnacentral:rRNA from 1 species
UACCAGCACCCCGAGUGGUCGGGACGUUUAUUGGGCCUAAAGCAUCCGUAGCCGGUUCUACAAGUCUUCCGUUAAAUCCAACUGCUUAACAGGUGGGCUGCGGAAGAUACUAUAGAGCUAGGAGGCGGGAGAGGCAAGCGGUACUCGAUGGGUAGGGGUAAAAUCCGUUGAUCCAUUGAAGACCACCAGUGGCGAAGGCGGCUUACUGGUCCAUUACUGACGCUGAGGUGCGAAAGCGUGGGGAGCAAACAGG